UUUUUUCGGACGCCUUGCAAGAUGGAUGGCGUAAUUAAAAUUCGUAAAGGAUAAUGUGUUAGUUUAGGCUGGGAUUUUUGAAAAAUGUUUUAGGAUAAAGUUCUACCACGCGGCGGGUGGGUGUCGGUCAUCACGAUUUGGUGGCGACAUGGGUGUGUCGUGUUGAUGUGUUGUUGUGAUUAAGAAUUUUAUGGAAUUUAAUUGAAAUUUAAACAACUUGAUAAGAAAAUCAUCAUCAUGGUCCCCUAACAACCUAAUAAUUUAAAAACCAUGAUUGGGUUAUAAAAUAACGCUGAAAUUUGAGAGUUAACACGCGUUUUGCUCGCUUCACGUUUGGAUUGAGGAAGCGUGCACCGCCAGUAAUCCAUAGGAAUCUCUUGCAUCCUUUACCUUGCUCGUCCGUAUGACACACGGCCACAGUCUGCAUGAGCCGCGCGUCCGGAGCGAAGCUUGAUUUUUCGGAACAGGUGUUUUCCUAAGUCUUCAGGAGAUUAAGGUGGAUUCUCUCCAACAUAUUAACUUUUUUUGUGAAGCUAAUUCAACUACUUUUGUAUUUUGGUUGACAUUUAUACUAAUUGAUGGUUUACCCUAGAUUGUGACUUAUCCGUUCAUAAAAUUGUAACUUAGCAUUAUGUCGAGUAACCUAAGAUCAUAAUUAAGGUGCGUUGAAUGCGGACAGCACCUUGAGAUUGUAUAAUACCUCUCUCAUGUCUCAGUAACUAGUCGAGUAAACUAUAAAUUGUAAAGCUCUAACAAACAAGAGAAGAAUUAAAUAACUAUUUCUAAGGUA